AUUGAACGCUGGCGGCAGGCUUAACACAUGCAAGUCGAACGAGUGGCGGACGGGGGAGUAAUGCUUGGGAAUCGAGCUUAUGGAGGGGGAUAACUACGGGAAACGGUAGCUAAUACCGCGUACCAUAGGAUGAGCCCAAGUGGGAUUAGGUAGUUGGGGAGGUAAAGGCUCACCAAGCCGACGAUCUCUAGCUGGUCUGAGAGGAUGACCAGCCACACUGGGACUGAGACACGGCCCAGACUCCUACGGGAGGCAGCAGUGGGGAAUAUUGCGCAAUGGGGGCAACCUGACGCAGCCAUGCCGCGUGAAUGAAGAAGGCCUUCGGGUUGUAAAGUUCUUUCGGUAGGGAGGCGUUACCUACAGAAGAAGCACCGGCUAACUCCGUGCCAGCAGCCGCGGUAAUUC
rnacentral:rRNA from 1 species